CAUAUCAUUAUGGAUAAAUGAGGAAGGAGAAAAACUGAAUCUCUUUUCAUUGGUAAAUGCAAGUAGAUGAAACUAUAAUAGCAACAGAAAUAGAUGAUGAUGUGAUGAUGACGUGAUGAUGACCUAGAUGUAGACAGUGAAUAGAAGGUAUAACAUAAUUGAUAUCUAUUUUUACUUUCAGUUACUGAAUAUAUAUCUAUUUUUACUUUAUGUUACUAAAUAUGUAUUACUACAUGUGAUUUAUUUAAUGUGAAUUUAUACAAGAUGAGAUGAUGAGGACGUAGAUCUUCAUCACGGGGUCGAGGAGACCAUGGUAGGGGUAGUGUCCACACAAGUGAAUCACAAAAUAUCAAUCAAUAUUCGGUACAACACACUGCUUUGAUUCCUAGACCAAACCAGGGUGAGAGAUCCACACAGGAUACUGCAUCAUCCACUCCUGCUUCAGUGCACAUAUCUGCUAUUGCCUCAACUCCCAUUUAUGUAUGGCACCUAUUGCAUUGACAGUUGUAUAUGCAUCUGCUUCUGGUAGUUGUGGACCUACAGGAUACAAACCACAUAUUUCCCUAGCAAACUCAAUGUGAAUAAAAUUUCAUGCAGCCUUCUGAUCCGAUUGCUCGCGGAUUACCUUGAUCUUUAAGAAAAAGUUAGUAACAAAUGGUUUUUGUUGGAAAAAUAUACCAAAAGAGGUUAAAGAAUUCUAUUGGUAAGAAUUUAAGAAACACUUCUUAUGGGAGGAUGCAAUAGAGCAGCUUAUGAAGAUAGUUUGGAGGAAGAAAAUCGUUGAGCGCUACCAUAGCCUUAUGUGUAGCAUAAGGAAUGGAAAGGAGAAGAGGUUAUAAUUGUCAGAAUGAGUAAUGGAUGCAUGGCAAUCCGCUUGGAGUGUUGUUGAGUAUCACAACAAAUGCAAAAAAUUUUCAAAUAACAAAAAGAGUGAAACAGGUGGGCAAGGUGCUGGCCCAUCAAGACAUUGUGGGGGAUUCAUAUCUCGGUAUAGGCAUCAAUAACAGAUGCACGAAAGGCUAAGCGGAGAUUCUCUAUCUCAUGAGUUAUUUGAGGCUACUCAUAA